AGAGUUUGAUCCUGGCUCAGAUUGAACGCUGGCGGUAUGCUUAACACAUGCAAGUCGAACGGCAGCAUGGUAAAGAUUUCGGUUUUUACUGAUGGCGAGUGGCGGACGGGUGAGUAAUGGGUAGGAAUCUACCCUAAAGAAUGGGAUAACAAGCGGAAACGCGUGCUAAUACCAUAUAAUAUCGAGAGAUCAAAGCAGGGGACCGUUAUUGGCCUUGCGCUUUAGGAUGAGCCUACGUCGGAUUAGCUAGUUGGUGGGGUAAAGGCCUACCAAGGCGACGAUCCGUAGCUGGUCUGAGAGGAUGACCAGCCACACUGGGACUGAGACACGGCCCAGACUCCUACGGGAGGCAGCAGUGGGGAAUUUUGGACAAUGGGGGCAACCCUGAUCCAGCGAUACCGCGUGUGUGAAGAAGGCCUUUGGGUUGUAAAGCACUUUAGGUGGGGAAGAAAGUUGUACGAAGAAUAGGCGUACGAUGUGACGGUACCCACAGAAUAAGCACCGGCUAACUCUGUGCCAGCAGCCGCGGUAAUACAGAGGGUGCGAGCGUUAAUCAGAAUAACUGGGCGUAAAGGGCGUGUAAGGUGGUUGAACUAGGGUUGUGAUGUGAAAGCCCCGGGCUUACCCUGGGAAUGGCGUCGAAAACGGGUUGACUAGAGUGA
rnacentral:rRNA from 1 species